rnacentral:lncRNA from 1 species
AGAUUAUGUAAUAUUUUUUUAUUAUUAUUUUGUUAUACCAAAAAUAUUUUUUUAUUUUAGUUACCAAAUACAUGUUAAAGUUUCAAAAUAUUUUAUAAAUAUAGUUAAACACAUGUAAAAGUUUUAAAAUACUUUAUAAAUAUAGUUAUCAAACAACAAACAGUUUUUUAUAAAAACUCUAUUUCUCAAAAGUUCUAUUUCUAAAAGCUUCAAAAAUUUUAUUACCAACAGCAAUCCCAAACAUCGCUUUACAGAGAGGAUGGAGAUGGGUCAACUGCAAGUGGCUGGUGGCUGGCAAUAUUAGAUACAGGGCCAGUGGCAGAUUAAAAAGGAUGUAGAUAGGGAUGGCAAUUGAUAGGGUACUUAUAAAAUUUGGCCUAUCCAUAUCCGAACCCAAACUCAUCCCAUAUGAAAUCAACCACAGAUCCCAAACCCAUCCAAUUUAAAAUUAGCAUACCCGUCGGUUACUCGAAUAUCCAUCCAAUCAAUCCUCAUUCAUAUUCAUAUUAUCAUCCAACAGAACUUAUAAAUUGAAAAUUUUUGUAGCCAAAGAAGAAUACUUCCGAUCAAAAAUUCCUAAACCCCACAAAAUAUCAUGCUUGUACCAAGAUUAAGCUCUGAAAACCUCAAGGGACCAACUCACAACACCACAACUCCCACAAAAUCCCAUAUCCUUAAGAAAAAACCCCAAUCGGAACCUAAAGAACCCCUCUGAUCCCCCUCAGGUGCUCUCCUUUCCCACAGAUCUUGGAAAAAAGAAUGAAAUGAAAGAAAAGAAUAGAAA